CCUACGGGAGGCAGCAGUGAGGAAUAUUGGUCAAUGGACGAGAGUCUGAACCAGCCAAGUAGCGUGAAGGAUGACUGCCCUAUGGGUUGUAAACUUCUUUUAUAAAGGAAUAAAACGAGGCACGUGUGCCUUUUUGCAUGUACUUUAUGAAUAAGGAUCGGCUAACUCCGUGCCAGCAGCCGCGGUAAUACGGCGGAUCCGAGCGUUAUCCGGAUUUAUUGGGUUUAAAGGGAGCGUAGAUGGGUUGUUAAGUCAGUUGUGAAAGUUUGCGGCUCAACCGUAAAAUUGCAAUUGAUACUGGCAGUCGUGAGUACAGUUGAGGUAGGCGGAAUUCGUGGGGUAGCGGUGAAAUGCUUAGAUAUCACGAAGAACCCCGAUUGCGAAGGCAGCUUACUAAACUGUGACUGACAUUGAUGCUCGAAAGUGUGGGUAUCAAACAGGAUUAGAUACCCCAGUAGUC
rnacentral:rRNA from 1 species